rnacentral:tRNA from 1 species
CGUCAGGUAGCUCAGUGGUCUAGAGCAGUCACCCGGCAAGCGAGAAAGACCCGGGUUCGAUUCCCCGGUCUAGCGA